CUUAUUUUCCCCUUCUCUGAGUUCUCUCAUUCUCGGCCGCACGGGCCUCUCUCUCUUCUUUCUCUCCUUCCUCUCGUCAUCCCUAUUAUUGCUGGAAAAGACUCCAUCCGGCCACCAUUUAUUGACACCGCCACCACCAAUUGAACCACAACACAAAUCCGAUCAAAACCGGAACCUCACUGUGGCCGGGGCCCGCCUGCAACCACUGGACGCGAGCAUCACAAUUUUCGCCGCCUUGUUCUUCGAUCUUCGUCAGCUUCCGGCCUUCUUUUCAACACACCGCCACCUUGGAACAACUCAGCAGACAAGGAGGAGCAAAACCCAGAGGUUCCGUUACCCACUGAUGCCGAGCGAGGCUGUACUCGCCGUCGCCGGAAACUGGGAUUCUGCAAGGAUCAAUUCGUCGUCUCCGGCGAUAUCUGUGCUACACAACCACCAUUAAUGGGAUCAGCAUCUCCCUUUUCACCAAAACCCUCUGGUUCCGACCUCCAAUUCCGGCUAGAAAUGCCGCACGCGCCGCCGCUGGCGCGUGGAGCACCGUGGCUCCGUUGCCAGAUUUCCAGACAACCUUUAUUAGGAUUGGUGAUCUUCUCCGUUUUGGAGAUUUGGAGAAGGGGAAGCUAUUUAGUCAGUUUCGAUUGCAAUCGACUAAGGUAAGGAUGAUGUACAGAAUUUUGUAUUGGAUACAAAUUGGUUGAGGGUUGAUUGUUAGUCUUUGCUAUGAUUCUGGGGUUUCGAAUGGUGGAUGGUAGCGGAAUGCAAUGAGGACAGAUUGGUCUCUAAUUUGGAAAGAAGAAAUGGUGUUGAUCUCUACCAAGCCGCUGGCUUUGAUGUGGUGAUGGUAAAUUCUAGUGAUUUAUUAUUGAAUGGAUGUAAGUUGGGAUGUGUGAACGUAUCAUCAGAAGAAUAAGAGUUUGGUUGUUGGAACUAAAUAAAUCAAAGUGGAAGGAUGCUUAAUUUCAUGAGCAAAUUGUUAAAAGAAUUUCGGACAUGACUUCAAUUAAAUGUGGAUUGGAUAAUUGGAAAUGGUGUAGAUAGUUAUAGGAUUAAUUUCAGGUUACUUAUUUCAAUUUUAGGUCAAUCUUCAUCUUCAUAUUA